UAGGGAAUCUUCCACAAUGGACGAAAGUCUGAUGGAGCAACGCCGCGUGAGUGAAGAAGGGUUUCGGCUCGUAAAACUCUGUUGUUAAAGAAGAACAUAUCUGGGAGUAACUGUUCAGGUAUUGACGGUAUUUAACCAGAAAGCCACGGCUAACUACGUGCUAG
rnacentral:rRNA from 1 species